GAUGAACGCUGGCGGCGUGCCUAAUACAUGCAAGUCGAGCGAACAGACGAGGAGCUUGCUCCUCUGACGUUAGCGGCGGACGGGUGAGUAACACGUGGAUAACCUACCUAUAAGACUGGGAUAACUUCGGGAAACCGGAGCUAAUACCGGAUAAUAUAUUGAACCGCAUGGUUCAAUAGUGAAAGACGGUUUUGCUGUCACUUAUAGAUGGAUCCGCGCCGCAUUAGCUAGUUGGUAAGGUAACGGCUUACCAAGGCAACGAUGCGUAGCCGACCUGAGAGGGUGAUCGGCCACACUGAAAAUGAGACGCGGUCCAGGCUCCUACGGGAGGCAGAGGUAGGGCAUCUUCCGCAAAGGGCGAAAGCCUGACGGAGCAACGCCGCGUGAGUGAUGAAGGUCUUCGGAUCGUAAAACUCUGUUAUUGGGGAAGAACAAAUGUGUAAGUAACUAUGCACGUCUCGACGGUACCGAAGCAGAAAACCACGGCUAACUACGU
rnacentral:rRNA from 1 species